rnacentral:piRNA from 1 species
UGUGAAGAAGUCAUUCUAGCUCUAGCUCC